rnacentral:rRNA from 1 species
UACGUAGGGAGCAAGCGUUGUUCGGAUUUACUGGGCGUAAAGGGCGCGUAGGCGGCGCGGUAAGUCACUUGUGAAAUCUCUGAGCUUAACUCAGAACGGCCAAGUGAUACUGCAGUGCUAGAGUGCAGAAAGGGCAAUCGGAAUUCUUGGUGUAGCGGUGAAAUGCGUAGAUAUCAAGAGGAACACCUGAGGCGAAGGCGGGUUGCUAGGCUGACACUGACGCUGAGGCGCGAAAGCCAGGGGAGCAAACAGG